rnacentral:rRNA from 1 species
ACGACAAGUAGGGCGGGACACGAGAAAUCCUGUCUGAAUAUGGGGGGACCAUCCUCCAAGGCUAAAUACUACUGACUGACCGAUAGUGAACUAGUACCGUGAGGGAAAGGUGAAAAGCACCCCGACGAGGGGAGUGAAACAGUUCCUGAAACCGGAUGCCUACAAGCAGUCGGAGCUCGUCUUCGGAUGGGUGACGGCGUACCUUUUGUAUAAUGGGUCAGCGAGUUGGUGUGCCGAGCAAGCUUAAGCCGUUAGGUGAAGGCGCAGCGAAAGCGAGUCUGAACAGGGCGUUGAGUUCG